rnacentral:misc_RNA from 1 species
GAAAUGCGAUAAGUAAUGCGAAUUGCAGAAUCCGUGAGUCAUCGAAUCUUUGAACGCACAUUGCGCCCUUUGGUAUUCCGAAGGGCAUGCCUGUUCGAGCGUCAUUAUCACCCCUCAAGCCCGGCUUGUUGUUGGUGGCGGCGGGACCUUCUAGGUCCCGCCCCGCCCAAAGAUAAUGACGGCGUCUGCGAGGACUCCUGUACACUGAGCUUUCGGGCACGUACACGGCUAGAAGUCCAGGCGCCGGUCACCGUCCUUCUCGGACACUUUUUACCAAGGUUGACCUCGGAUCAGGUAGGGAUACCCGCUGAACUUAA